GUGUCACUUUGGCAGCACAUAUACUAAAAUUGGAACCAUAUAGAGAAAAUUAACAUGGCCCCUGGGCAAGGAUAACAUGCAAAUCUGUGAAGUGUUCCAUAUUUUU